rnacentral:antisense_RNA from 1 species
UUUACGGCGGGCGGUGCGCGGGAGCCUUCGGGCUCGCCGGAGCCUUUGACCGGUACGCCAAUCGUGCACCGUCCGCCACCC